rnacentral:rRNA from 1 species
UAUUGGAGUACGGAUAUGGCACGUAAUACACGUCGUAGUGUAGUCGAAGAUAACGGCCCAAAGAAGCGGGCUGAGCUCUGCACUCUCGAUACCAAGAACCUCGCAAGAAACGUUCACGUCGGAGCCACGGUACCUCUGCCACGGAGGAGGACGAGGGCUGGGAACACGAGGACACCGUCGAGACGGCCAACGACGUGGCCGACACCACCGCCGGCGCCACGGAGCUCGCCCUCGAGGCCAGGUUCCCGGAGGCGCCGUGCAGGAUGGCGAAGGAUUGGCCGCUGGAGUCCCUUGUUCCGGCCGCCUUGUUCCUGCGGACCAGCUCCGGCGAGGGCGACGCCACGGUGCUGUAGCGGGGAGCGCACCGUGGUGAGGAGACGCUAAGGCGGGCCCUCGUGCCGUUCCACUCGGAGAGCACCAAGCCGGGCUAGGGGUUCCAUUGGUAGCGGCUGGGCCUCGAACGGUUCUCGCACGACAGGCUGUUCAGGCCCGUGAAGCUCUUCGGGUUCAAGGGCCGCUACACCUUCGACGAGCGGUUGCCAGAGAACUUGGUGCUCCCGCUAUUCACCCAGUUCGUGUCCGCCGAGGAGUUGGGACUCAAGGUACUCCUCUUCUAGUUCACGUACGACGGUCUCAAAAGCCGCACGACACUUCUCAACCACCCGUCUACCUGCCUCAGGUAGCCGAGGUCACCUCCAUGCGUGCUCGACCUAUAAACCGGCCUCGAGUUUUAGGACCGGCCUCUACAGUAAAGGGCGUGGCGUAAGCCGUCGUCGAUGGAACUUCCUUACUUCUAUAAAGUCGACGUUUGGCUCGUUCGUCUCGUGGAGUAGUGUUUGUAAGCCUCCUAAGAGUAAGGGCCGAUGAAUAGAAACGGUUGGGGUUUGUUAUUUUCCUACAUAGUCCAGUUGUUGCUCCAACUUAGCUAAGAUGCCCCAAAUUAACGUUUUUCUUGAUUUCGACAGUUCCUUCCUCUUUCGUGGUUUCUACUGAAUGAACCGAAUAACGAUCUCAGUUUGUACUCCGUGUGUAUACUGUUACCAGUUAGGUCGUACCCCUACUGUUAACUUCUACAGUAGCUCCUCACGUUCUGCAAGAUGAAACGUCCUUACCUCUGUUGUAGUCAUGAUGAGUGCACCUGGUACUAGCAAGAUUCGUACGUAGGCUUCACCGUCCUGGCACGUUCCCUCCUCCAGGAUCCAAAUAAACCCUUUUUGUUUGGACUUAUGCUUCCAGAUUUGGCUGAAUUUUACCACUGGUACUAGGAAAUGCUCCAAGAAGCCAACAUAGGAGGUUCGUAAGUAAAAUCGGCCUUCUGUACGUUCCUCCACGAUUAGCCUCUGUUUUCCAUGGGUCGACCGUACUACUAACUCGAGAGGCAUGAUGAGUACGUGGUACUGGGACUGUAAACCCCUUCGCUACACGUACUUAAGUUCGGCCUCUCCAAGCGACUCCCCUAGAGGUUUCGCAGGUUCUUAAGUCCGCGCAAAGAGGGUAAGCCGACCCCCGGUGCCUAAACGUAGCCGGUCUUAAAACGCGAAUGACUCCGGUUCUACCGCUAAACGUACUAGGAAGUUGCAAAGCUGAAGCACGAACGGGGCAGGAUAUAAGUACGCGGUAUAUGGCACCAUUGUGAUGUAGGUUACGUACCGCGUGUUUAAUCCGAACCUGAGUAGAUUAAGGAAAGUGUAAACCACCACACAGGAAACUAAAAGAAACUGUUUACAUACACACACCACAUUGACUCACAACUUCGAUAGUCUAGAUUAAGUUAUUACUCUAGGACCAACGGCAUUAUGCCUAUACUUUAUAUACUGCCAAAGAGUCUGUUGUGGCACCUGCUACUUGAGUUUGUUGGGUGUGCCAAAGAUCUUUCAUCCGCACAACCUAGUUACUUCUUAGUGUGUACUGAAGCCGGUCUCUUAACAAACACAAUCCGGUGGAACGUGUUUCCAAACGUGUAUUUUUUAGCACACACUAUAUGUAUGCUCGCAAAAAGACUCUAAGUGACACACCCUACAUAUAUACUUGCCUUUACUAACCCGGACGUAUUAACAGAGACUACGGAGCGGACUAGUGUGUCCUCGAGUAAAACGGGUCGCACACGCUGGCUUCCUGGAAAAGGGCUGCCAAAGAUCCAGCACACUCUUCCUGGGGGGGGAUAGCGGGUGUGUUCGUUCCACUGCCAAAUUUUGAGACAGCGCCUUUUCCUCAAUUUUGGCAAACAUAUCGUGCAGAUACGUGGUCACAUACCAUGCGUGAUAGUGUGUAUUUGGAGACAUAUAGACUUCCUUUAUA